rnacentral:rRNA from 1 species
GCUAGUAAUCGCGGAUCAGCAUGCCGCGGUGAAUACGUUCCCGGGCCUUGUACACACCGCCCGUCACACCAUGAGAGUCGGGAACACCCGAAGUCCGUAGUCUGACCGCAAGGGGGACGCGGCCGAAGGUGGGUUCGAUAAUUGGGGUGAAGUCGUAACAAGGUAUC